rnacentral:sRNA from 1 species
GGUGAAUGAUUAGAAAGUGUAAAAAAAGUUUCAUAUGUCUAUGUAAAUAGAUAUAAAGGCUAUAUAAGCUCUAGAGUAUUAUUUCCAAACUAUUUUAAUGCAUCUGCAUUUGUGUGUGUGUGUGUGUGUGUGUGUGUGUGUGUGGUGCUGGGGCUAAAACCCAGGGCUUUGUGCAUGCAGGGCAAGCACUCUACCA